UACGUAGGGUCCGAGCGUUGUCCGGAAUUAUUGGGCGUAAAGAGCUCGUAGGCGGUUUGUCGCGUCUGCUGUGAAAACUGGGGGCUCAACCCCCAGCCUGCAGUGGGUACGGGCAGACUAGAGUGCGGUAGGGGAGAUUGGAAUUCCUGGUGUAGCGGUGGAAUGCGCAGAUAUCAGGAGGAACACCGAUGGCGAAGGCAGAUCUCUGGGCCGUAACUGACGCUGAGGAGCGAAAGCAUGGGGGAGCGAACAGG
rnacentral:rRNA from 1 species